CGAGGCGAACCGGGGAAACUGAAACAUCUCAGUACCCCGAGAAAAAGAAAUCAACCGAGAUUCCCCCAGUAGCGGCGAGCGAACGGGGAGCAGCCCAGAGUCAACAUCAAUAUUUACCACAGGAGAAGGGUCUGGAAAAGCCGGCAAUAAAGGGUGAUAGCCCCGUAUCUAAAGCGGUAAGUGUUGUGAACUCGAAGAGUAGGGCGGGACACGUGUUAUCCUGUCUGAAUAUGGGGGGACCAUCCUCCAAGGCUAAAUACUCCUGACUGACCGAUAGUGAACCAGUACCGUGAGGGAAAGGCGAAAAGAACCCCGGCGAGGGGAGUGAAAUAGAACCUAAAACCGUGUACGUACAAGCAGUAGGAGCACCCGAAAGGGUGUGACUGCGUACCUUUUGUAUAAUGAGUCAGCGACUUAUAUUCUGUAGCAAGGUUAACCGCAUAGGGGAGCCGUAGGGAAACCGAGUCUUAACUGGGCGUUAAGUUGCAGGGUAUAGACCCGAAACCCGGUGAUCUAGCCAUAAGCAGGUUGAAG
rnacentral:rRNA from 1 species